AACACAUGCAAGUCGAACGGAAAGGCCUCUUCGGAGGUACUCGAGUGGCGAACGGGUGAGUAACACGUGGGCAAUCUGCCCUGCACUUCGGGAUAAGCCUGGGAAACUGGGUCUAAUACCGGAUAGGACCUCAAGACGCAUGUCUUCUGGUGGAAAGCUUUUGCGGUGUGGGAUGGGCCCGCGGCCUAUCAGCUUGUUGGUGGGGUGACGGCCUACCAAGGCGACGACGGGUAGCCGGCCUGAGAGGGUGUCCGGCCACACUGGGACUGAGAUACGGCCCAGACUCCUACGGGAGGCAGCAGAAGGG
rnacentral:rRNA from 1 species